rnacentral:misc_RNA from 1 species
AACGCACGAGACCUGCGGACCUGCGGAGGGAUCAUUACAAGAAGCCGAAAGGCUACUUCAAACCAUCGCGAACUCGUCCAAGUUGCUUCGGCGGCGCGGCAUCCCGUCACCGGGGCGCCGCAGCCCGGCCUCCCCGGAGGUGCGGGGCGCCCGCCGGAGGUACGAAACUCUGUAUUAUAGUGGCAUCUCUGAGUAAAAAGCAAAUAAGUUAAAACUUUCAACAAUGGAUCUCUAGAUCGG